CCUACGGGAGGCUGCAGUGGGGAAUAUUGCACAAUGGAGGAAAGCCUGAUGCAGCAACGCCGCGUGAAGGAUGAAGGGUUUCGGAUCGUAAAGUUCUUUUAAAAGGGACGAAGGAAGUGACGGUACCUGAGGAAUAAGCCUCGGCUAACUACGUGCCAGCAGCCGCGGUAAUACGUAGGAGGCAAGCGUUAUCCGGAAUGACUGGGUGUAAAGGGUGCGUAGGCGGGAUGAUAAGCUGGGAGCGAAACUCCUGGGCUCAACCUGGGGAUUGCAUUCGAAACUGUCGAACUUGAGUGCAGGAGAGGCAAGUGGAAUUCCUAGUGUAGCGGUGAAAUGCGUAGAUAUUAGGAAGAACACCAGUGGCGAAGGCGGCUUGCUGGACUGUAACUGACACUGAGGCACGAAAGCGUGGGGAGCGAACAGGAUUAGAUACCCCAGUAGUC
rnacentral:rRNA from 1 species